rnacentral:rRNA from 1 species
AUGACAAACCACAGUGAAACACCACGAGAAGAGAAUACAGGAGACAUGGAUAUGGACUUUGGAGAUGCACGGAAAGAAUCCAUUGAGGGUUCAGAUGCGAUGUCGCUGAAAGGCGACGAAGAUUCACAACAUAAAAAUGUCAAAGAGGUUAUAUCUCAUAGCAAACCAAAAAGGAUGCUAAUUUACAUAUUAUCCCACAAGUUAUUCAUUCCGAUUAACAUGCCGGGCUACCAUUGGUAUCUAGCAGUUGCCAACGCAAAAAACGAGAGAUCCAAGUAUUGGACUCACUUGUUGCUAGGGCUCGAGAAAUGGCUGAAACUUGUAGAGCAUAGUCCGGAGUUUAUCAAAGGUCAUAAGUGGCCUGAUCUCAAUGUUACAAAAUGGACGGUUGUAGAGCAAAUUCAGGAGGCAAUACAAACCGAUGGCGUAUCAUGUGGAUUGUUUAUGCUAAAUUAUAUGGAAUACUGGACACCACAUGGACUGUCAGACCAGUUUACGCAGGAGGAUAUGAAACAUUUUCGACAAAAAUUAGCAAUUAUUUUGCUCGAUUCAGAGCUUAAUGAGUUAAAAGGAUGUCCCAUGUACCAUCAACCUCUCAACGAAGAAACUUUAGCUAAUUCUGAUAUUGAGAUCCUGGAUAAUCCAUCUGACGUGGUCGAAGAGAAACGUCCCGCCCCAAUCACUAUCAUUCCCACGGACCAACGUGAAAUACUUGCCGGCCUCUGCAACUACAUCAUGUCGAUCAAUGAUGCUGGAUGUUUGGAGAAGGUAUGGGUCCGGAGCUCCAUAUCCGAUCCAAUGAGCUUAAGUCUUAAGAAACUUCAGUGUAUACUUAACAUGGAGCAGCCCAUGGACAAUGAUUGCUUCAACACCGCCGUGCUUAUGCUGGCAUGUGACGAGGAAGUAUUGUUCACAGACCCUCCUAUACACUACAUGGAUCUACGAUUUUGUUCCAUGCUGCUAGAGUCAACACGAGGUCAGAAAUUUUGUGAGAAGGAAACUAUCCAGACGUUGGCAACAUUAUUUGAUAGCUGGCCUGGGAUGGAGACCGACAUCUCAUCUUGCAAUAAGAUUUAUCUUCCCUAUGCAUCCAUCGGCCGAUACAUCCUGUACAUCAUCGACAAAGAGGCACGUCGUCUAUAUAUUAUGGAUCCUAUUCAAUCAUCACAAUCGUCAGAGGAUAAAAACUUGAGGCGUUCACUGAAAUUAAAAAGUUUUUCAAGGGAUUUCAAAGAAGCACUCGAAAUAAAGCUGCCUGGGUGGAAUUUUGAUAUAUCUAAAUGGCAUCGUUUAUUUCCGGCCGGUGUUCCAACGAGUAUAGACGGGAAUGUGUCUGGCUAUUUUGUUUUUCAUUUUAUGCUCUGGUGGAACGGUAAAGAAUUGGUCAAGCCGGUUUGCGCGGAUGGAUGUCCUUUUUCCCGCAAACCGGAAGCAAACUUGCGGCUGGUUUGGGAGUGUCUGGACAUGCGCAUGACCAGAAAAGAGCAACCAUGUGGUCCUCCCCUUAUUCCGCUCUCUCUGUCCACAUCUAUGGCCCCCCUCUUCUCUCUCUCCUUCCAACCGAACACCCCACCACAAUAUCCCAUCAAAAGCAACAACAUGCAUGACCCUCAUCUCCUCUCUCUCCUCCUAACCGGACAAAUAAGGAUAAAUAUAUGA